rnacentral:lncRNA from 1 species
CAGGGAAAACUCAUUCUUCCCAACCUGAACCGAGUUCAAAAACGAUUCAACCAGGUCAUUCCCUGACACCACCAUCACUCAAAACCGUAGAUAGUCAUACAGAAUCCCAGAUUUUCAAAUAAAAGUUUCCCAAUCCACUAAUUCUUGUUAUAAUACACCCCACAUAAUACUAAUAAAAGCAACAACUACAUACCCAAAAUUCGAACUAUGUCGUGUCAACACAUUGGCAUUUGGAUAAAGGGAUUU